AUCACUUCUUGGCCUUUUGGCUAAGAUCAAGUGUAAAACCUAUAAAUACUACAAUUUGGGGCUUUAAAAAGUGUAAAUGUUUUACGAAACCUGCCUAUACUACAUAGCAAAAGGCUUAUUUUCCUGUAUA
ensembl:snRNA U2 U2 spliceosomal RNA